rnacentral:rRNA from 1 species
AUGGUGGCAGAAAGAAGAACUGUGUCGGGAACCCAAAGUUUUGGGCGAGGCAAAUUUUCCCAGGCUGGUAGGGCUCUUGUGAGAGGGACAAGAGGACACAACCGGGGUAGGGCGCGAGGUAAUGCUUCCGUGCCCUGCAAGCAUACAUCUAGCGACGGUGGAAUGCACGAGGAUGGCGAUGAUCUGAAUGACAUACCUGAGUGCCCUUCGAAAAAUACUGUGGAGAAAGAACAUGACCGUGCGAAAGAAAAGGAUGUUGUGUCAACAAAGAAGAAACUGGAUAUGGACGUCGAGUCCAACCAAGAUCAAGGAGCUCUAGCUUGUUGA